UAUUUUAUUCAAAAAUUAAAUUGUAUUGAAGUAUACAUUGCAUAGAUUUUGUAUAGUAAUUGUAGCGACAUGAAUUGUAUCUGCAUACAAUUUCGUCUUCGCCUAUACCUCAAUUUGGCAUUCUAUCUUUCAAUGCCUAAUGUCUACUUUGAUUCUAUUCACACCUUCCAAAAAUUUGUAUUUACAACUCCCUUUUUGGAUCCUAUUCAAAUAUGAGUCCUGAUUAAUAGGACUAGGGUGCCCUCACUGCUUGGAUCCUCCUAAUCAAGACCCAAAUUUGGUCCCAGCAUCAACAAUCACUUCAAUUGGGUGGGAAUUUAAGUCCUACAUUGGCCUACUCUCGCCUGUAGCUCCCACUACCCUGGUCUUGAGAGAGGAUUUUCCUCUCUGCUCAAAAGUUGUAGGACCAAGUUGCCCUACCCUCCUAGUCCCGACAAUUUGGCCCAAAUUUUCAGCUAUAAGUUCUAAUCCAUUUUCCCUUUUUAGGUCUUUGUUUGUGACUCUAUGUGAAGUUUGGAACAUUUUGUUAUCAUUGUUUUGCUCUUAAUCAAAUAGACAAAUCUAAUCAGAAUCUCAACCCUCUUCUCUAAUUGUAUUGAGGCUAGAUCUAUUGAGUUUACAUUCCUCUUUUACAUGUAAGGUUGAUCUUGUGAAAUUGGUAGUUUUUAUUUUACUCUUUUAAUUAAUGAAACCUUAAUUUUAUCACCUUACAUUUUGGUUACAUUUUGGUGAACUUGAUGUGCCUCAUGCUUAUUUCUAAUUUUCAUUCUCAGAUCUGAUUUGUAUGUACUUAAACAUUCAUAUGAGUGAUCAUAAAAACCCUAAUUUAUUCCUCUAAAAUUAUUUGACAUAAAAUUCUUUAAAUUUAUGAAAUUUUCAGAGUAAAUUAAUCAUCUGUAUGUUUUAACGCAUGAAAAUUUUACAGUUCAUCAAAUAAUUUAUAGAAAAAGAAAAAAUUAAAAAAGAACUAUAAAAUUCUUUAUUUUGUUUCGGUAUGUGUGUUUGCAGGGUAUCCACAGCCAGGUUACCGGCAACAGGGAUAUUAUCAACCGCAGCCGCCUAUGAUGGCGCCGCCACAGUAUACACAGGCUCCACCUCGAAAGGUGCCAGCGUUUCUUGAAGUAUGUCUGGCUGCUCUUUGUUGCUGCUGCCUGCUGGACGAGUGCUGUUGUGUUCUUUAGUUAGCGCUUGAAGAACUUCAUCUAAAUUUUCUUCCACAAAAAAAACAGGGACAUCUCAAAAAAAAAUCUGCAGCAUCUGAAAGAAAGCUUCAGUAUCUAUUUUUAUAUAAAAAAGUCUAUCAAUUUAAUUCGUUGAAUGUAUAGAAAUAGUUGAAGAAGGGAUAUAUAUAUGGGGUUUUAGUUUUGCUGUUC